rfam:Yersinia ruckeri strain 37551 YRO1b0000028, whole genome shotgun sequence.
GCUUAUUCUCAGGGCGGGGUGAAAGUCCCCACCGGCGGUAAACCGUGAUCAGGUACUUUAUGUGCUGCAUUGUGGAAGCCCGCGAGCGCUCACACUGGGUGGUUAAUUCGACUCAGUGUAGAGGUCAGCAGAUCCGGUGUGAUUCCGGGGCCGACGGUUAUAGUCCGGAUGGGAGAGAGUAACG